AGCUCCAAUAGCGUAUAUUAAAGUUGUUGCAGUUAAAAAGCUCGUAGUUGGAUCUCAGGUCCAGGCUUGCGGUCCGCUCCUUGGUGGUUACUGCUCGUCCUGACCUACCACCCGGUUGCCCCUUGGUGCUCUUGACUGAGUGUCUCGGGAAGCUGGAACGUUUACUUUGAAAAAAUUAGAGUGUUCAAAGCAGGCAAUUCGCCUGAAUAAUGGUGCAUGGAAUAAUGGAAUAGGACCUCGGUUCUAUUUUGUUGGUUUUCGGAAUUGGAGGUAAUGAUUAAGAGGGACGGACGGGGGCAUUCGUAUUACGGUGUUAGAGGUGAAAUUCUUGGAUCGCCGUAAGACGAACUACUGCGAAAGCAUUUGCCAAGAAUGUUUUCA
rnacentral:rRNA from 1 species